GCUGGGGUAGCUCAACGGUAGAGCAAUCGCUUCGUAAGCGAUAGGUUGUGGGUUCGAGUCCCAUCCCCAGCU
rnacentral:tRNA from 1 species